GUCUACGGCCAUACCACCCUGAAUGCGCCCGAUCUCAUCUGAUCUCGGAAGCUAAGCAGGGUCGGGCCUGGUUAGUACUUGGAUGGGAGACCGCCUGGGAAUACUGGGUGCUGUAGGCU
rnacentral:rRNA from 1 species